rnacentral:rRNA from 1 species
ACGGCUCAGUAACACGUGGAUAAUCUGCCCAAGGGUCCGGGAUAACCCCGGGAAACUGGGGAUAAUACCGGAUGGGCCAUCAGUGCUGGAAUGCUUGGUGGUUUAAAGGUAACGCCCUUGGAUGGGUCUGCGGCGGAUUAGGUUGACGCCGGUGUAACGUACCGGCGUGCCUGUAAUCCGUACGGGUUGUGGGAGCAAGAGCCCGGAGAUGGAUUCUGAGACACGAAUCCAGGCCCUACGGGGCGCAGCAGGCGCGAAAACUCUACAAUGCAGGCAACUGCGAUAGGGGGACAUCGAGUGGCGCCCACCUUGGGCGCCUGUCCCACCGUCUAAAAAACGGUGGUUAGCAAGGGCCGGGUAAGACCGGUGCCAGCCGCCGCGGUAAUACCGGCGGCUCGAGUGGUGGCCGAUAUUAUUGAGUCUAAAGGGUCCGUAGCCGGCUCCGUGGGUCCCCCGGGAAAUCCAGCGGCUUAACCGUUGGUCGUCCGUGGGAUACCGCGUUGCUUGGGACCGGGAGAGGUGGGAGGUACUCGGGGGGUAGGGGUGAAAUCCUGUAAUCCUCCGGGGACCACCGGUGGCGAAGGCGUCCCACCAGAACGGGUCCGACGGUGAGGGACGAAAGCUAGGGGCACGAACCGGAUUAGAUACCCGGGUAGUCCUAGCCGUAAACGAUGCCCGCUAGGUGUCACGGCGGUCGUGAAUCGCCGUGGUGCCGUAGGGAAGCCGCGAAGCGGGCCACUUGGGAAGUACGGCCGCAAGGCUGAAACUUAAAGGAAUUGGCGGGGGAGCAC